AGAGUUUGAUCAUGGCUCAGUCUCUACCUGACGGGGCGGCAGGCCUAACACAUGCAAGUCGAGAGGCCUUCACACACUAGAAAGGCUUGCUAUCUGUUUCAGCGGCGGACGGGUGAGUAAUGCCUAGGAAUCUGCCUGGUAGUGGGGGACAACGUUUCGAAAGGAACGCUAAUACCGCAUACGUCCUACGGGAGAAAGUGGGGGAUCUUCGGACCUCACGCUAUCAGAUGAGCCUAGGUACGAUUAGCUAGUUGGUGAGGUAAAGGCUCACCAAGGCGACGAUCGUUAACUGGUCUGAGAGGAUGAUCAGUCACACUGGAACUGAGACACGGUCCAGACUCCUACGGGAGGCAGCAGUGGGGAAUAUUGGACAAUGGGCGAAAGCCUGAUCCAGCCAUGCCGCGUGUGUGAAGAAGGUCUUCGGAUUGUAAAGCACUUUAAGUUGGGAGGAAGGGCAGUAAGCUAAUACCUUGCUGUUUUGACGUUACCAACAGAAUAAGCACCGGCUAACUUCGUGCCAGCAGCCGCGGUAAUACGAAGGGUGCAAGCGUUAAUCGGAAUUACUGGGCGUAAAGCGCGCGUAGGUGGUUUUGUAAGUUGGAGGUGAAAUCCCCGGGCUCAACCUGGGAACUGCCUCCAAAACUGCAUGACUAGAGUACGGUAGAGGGUGGUGGAAUUUCCUGUGUAGCGGUGAAAUGCG
rnacentral:rRNA from 1 species